AUUGAACGCUGGCGGCAGGCCUAACACAUGCAAGUCGAACGAGUGGCGGACGGGUGAGUAAUGUCUGGGAAACUGUCCGAUGGAGGGGGAGAAUUACGGGAAACGGUAGCUAAUACCGCAUACCAUGGGAUGUGCCCAGAUGGGAUUAGCUAGUAGGUGGGGUAACGGCUCACCUAGGCGACGAUCCCUAGAGGGUCUGAGAGGACGACCAGCCACACUGGAACUGAGACACGGUCCAGACUCCUACGGGAGGCAGCAGUGGGGAAUAUUGCACAAUGGGCGCAAGCCUGAUGCAGCCAUGCCGCGUGUAUGAAGAAGGCCUUCGGGUUGUAAAGUACUUUCAGCGAGGAGGCGUUACUCGCAGAAGAAGCACCGGCUAACUCCGUGCCAGCAGCCGCGGUAAUUC
rnacentral:rRNA from 1 species